GCACAAGCGGUGGAGCAUGUGGUUAAUUCGACGCAACGCGAAGAACCUUACCAGGGCUUGACAUCCCCUGACCGCGUAUGAAAGUACGUUUUCACCCUCGGGUGACAGGGAGACAGGUGGUGCAUGGUUGUCGUCAGCUCGUGUCGUGAGAUGUUGGGUUAAGUCCCGCAACGAGCGCAACCCCUACGUUUAGUUGCUAACAGGUGAAGCUGAGCACUCUAGACGAACUGCCGUUGACAAAACGGAGGAAGGUGGGAUGACGUCAAAUCAUCAUGCCCCUUAUGUUCUGGGCUACACACGUGCUACAAUGGCCGGUACAGACGGAGGCGAAGCCGCGAGGCGGAGCAAAUCCGAAAAAGCCGGUCUCAGUUCGGAUUGCAGGCUGCAAUUCGCCUGCAUGAAGAUGGAGUUGCUAGUAACCGCAGGUCAGCUAUACUGCGGUGAAUACGUUCCCGGGGCUU
rnacentral:rRNA from 1 species